UCCCCCUUAGCUCAGUGGUAGAGCGCGUCACUAGUAUUUCAAGACGAAAUGACGAGGUCAGUCGUUCAAGUCGGCUAGGGGGAA
rnacentral:tRNA from 1 species